UGAAAUCUUGGAUAAAAGGAUACAGCCUGUAAUGCUCUCAAGCUGUCUGAACCAUGAGCCAUCUCUCUGGCUUUUCAGAGCCUCUUCGUAAGAGCUGCUCUCUGUGAAACUCCUUAUGGCAACGCUGUCGAGAAGCAAAGACGCCUGCGGAUGAUUUCUGUUGCGAACUUCUCAUGCAAUGCAACCCACAGUGUUUGAGUGGUCCCAAGGACAGGGACAAUACGUCAGAGGAAGCAGUUGCAAGUUUCAGAAGCUUUGCUUAAAUUGAUGUCAGAAGAACCAUAACUAGAGAAUGGAAGGAGAAGGAACUUGCCGUCACCUGAAGCUUAAACGUAUGAGUUUCCUGAAGGCACCUCUGUAGCCAGGCACUGUUCAACAGCUGACAAUCUCCAACAGCAAUGCUGAGACAUCCAUGCAGCCACACUCCCAUGGCUUUUGGUGUGGUUUGUGUCUGUCAAAUAGUUUGUUUCUUUGGUGGACUUGGAUAAAAAUUCCUUUCUUAAUAAAAAGAGAAACUGCAGCAAAAGAAAAUUCUACUCUCUUUUUCCUUCCCUUUAGUUCUAAUGGAUAAACAAAUGAUAGUUGGGGCUGCUACAGCCCUCAUGGUGUGUGAGACUAGAAGCCUAUAGACAAAGAGCCAGCACACUAUGGAGACAUAAGCGGGAGAAUGAGUAGAGCUAAGGUCCUUGAUAUAAAUAUUAUUGGCGAGCUCUUAACCUAACCCUGUGACCUAGAAUUCUAGAAUCCUUAAGUGAUUUUAUCCCCUACAGUUAGGUACCCUUAUAUCUUAUAGGUAGCCUUAUACCUUAUUGAUAUACAAGUUACUUAGCCUGUUUGACCCUAAACUUUCUCAUCUAAUAAUUGAGGAUAAUACCACGCAGGAAUGUGAGGAGUAAUUAAUGAUUUGAUCUUUAUGCUCUAUCAUACCAGUUCACCUGUAUGAUGCUCUCCACCCAUUUGGCUUAUUAGUUACUGUUUGGAGACAGUUUUCUGAGUCCAGCCAUCUCAGAAACAAGUUCUACCUUGUUGACAGGGUCAAACCUGAGUUCAUGUUCUCAGGUCCUGGAACCCAACUACUAUCCUGCUUCUUCAGAUGUUUCAUGUUUUUCUGCUAACCAGGAAAGGAUGUAAAAAUGAAAGUUGCUGUUAUCUUGUUGUCUAAAUUACAAGCACACAAGUCAUAAAUGCAUCGCCUGUCUUGACUUAAUUGACCACGUGCUGCUUGCCCACUCCUUUGUUCCUAUAUCAUUAUAAAUUCUAGGUCAGAGUCCAGGAAGGGACCUGACUGCAAAAGGUGACUCAAGGAUCCUGAAACUUGGAGACCUGGAUACGUCCCAGUCACCAACUUUAACUUCCCUGCUUAAUGCCUUGUGUUGAAAUAUGAUUGGUCAAGGCAACAGCCCUCCCUCCUCCCCCUUGCUUUGUGUUGUCAUCCCAUAAAAUUGUUGUACAAUCUCCCUUUGGGGAGUCAGUUCAGAUUCCAAACUGGCACCCUUUCGAAUGUGCAGAAAAUAAAGCUUUCAUUUUUAAACUUCUGUCUCUGAAGUGAGUUUUCUCAGCUUCUACCCCAAAUGCAAAAGUUACAAGUAUAGAAAUCUUUUGAGUAACGUGAAGAUUGCUAGAUGGUUGAUGAUUUGAUGAACCUUCUAUUAGAGGAAAUUAACACACAUAGCACGGUGCCUGGUUUCAUUGAGACUGCUGCGUUGGAUCACUUUACAUAGAUGUGCCAAUGAGUGUACGUACAUUCAUAUCUUUUUAUUCCAACCAUACUUUCCUGAGUUUCUAAGGAAGUAUUCACUUUAUAUCCGGG
rnacentral:lncRNA from 1 species